rnacentral:lncRNA from 1 species
UCCAGCGUGGAUGACAGAGCAAGAUUUUGCCUCAAAUAAAUAAUAAACAAACAAACAAAAUGACAAACUGGACAUAGGGGAAAUCGCUGGCUUUGGUAAGGUCAAGCUGAAGAAAAGAGAGACUCAGGAGAACACUCGGCCGACCAGAGACCACUGAGCGGAAGUAGAGUGAAACUUCCUAAGAGCCUGGAAGGUACCCCCUGUCCUCCUCGAGCCUGCAGUGCUGAUGUGGAGGAAGAGCCACCCACAAGAUGCGCCUGAGCCACAAGCCACACCGUGAACCCAGGGCAGCUACGACAGUGCCUGGUGCUUGGGGAGUGCUUGACAGAUUCAGGUUGAAGAAACAAAGGCAGGAUGUCUGAGAUGCCCAGCGUGGGUGAGUGCACCCUCCCUCCCUGGCUCUGCUCCUCCCCCUCCCCGGAACCACCACCCCCUCAGCCCUGAGCUGCCGAUGCCCUCGGGGUUCUGUUUUCAUUCCAGGCUGUGGAUCCGGUCGUGGGAAGCAGAGUGAACUUCUAGGUUCUGAGCUGACUCCUUGGAAACCCUAGACUCCAGGGACGCGCUUCUAGAACCUGCUCAGAUUGCUACUCAGUUAACAGCCUGGCCCAGGAGGAUUGCAACACCCAGCCUGGCUCCCAGGCAAGCUAAAGAGGGCUUGAUGAUGGGAAGAGGUUAAGGGGUACGUGGAGAGAAAGAAGGAUCAGAAGGCGGAAACAUCAUAGACCUCCUGGGAUGCCUUCUGCAGGAUCACAGAGAAGGCAAAAUUUGUCCUCCUGACUACAAGAUGCCAAGAUACAUUUGUAUCGAGCCACUGAAUUCUCUACCCCUUCUGUAGAGGUGGUUGGGGAAGAGCUGCAGUAGGAAGCUGGGUCCCAAGUAAUGAAGGACCUUUAGAAGCAGAAGGUGUUAGGGUGGGGGCAAAGGACUGAACUCUGACCAACCAGAAGAAAGGAAAAACUGGAGUUCCUUUCCCCUAGGUCUGCCUUUCUUUCUCAGGGUCUCUAUUUACUUCUCAUGCACUUGACUCUCUGCUUCCCUCUCCCUCAUUUCCACAAAGGGGCCCAAGCUUCACAUGCAUCUCGCACCCCCGCACCUUGUGGGCAGGAAAUCUGAGCACAGGCAUUUCCUGUACGCUGAUAAAUGCCCACUGCAAAGAGCCCCAGCCUGAAGGUGGCCCUGUCUCCUAGUUAUGUCCCUCCACAUCCUUAUCUCCCCAGGCUCCAGCCCUCACCAGCAGGGACUCAACAAACGCCAUCUGUCAGAUGAGUCAUGGGACCAGAAGCUUGGGAGAAGACAUGCAGAGCCAACCACUAACAAAACUGGCAAAUGAAAUAAAUGCCCAGAAACCUGCUCCAUCCCCAGCAUUCCUUAAGUCCUAUAAAUUGCACCACCUUUUACCAGUUUUCAGAAACUAAAAGUCAUCCUUGACAUCCGUCCAAUCAAUCACCUCCUAUUUAUCUCCCAAAUUCAUUCUUUUUUCUUUUUGAAACAGAGUUUUUACUCUUGUUGCCCAGGCUGAAGUG